GAUGAACGCUGGCGGCGUGCCUAAUACAUGCAAGUCGAGCGAACAGACGAGGAGCUUGCUCCUCUGACGUUAGCGGCGGACGGGUGAGUAACACGUGGAUAACCUACCUAUAAGACUGGGAUAACUUCGGGAAACCGGAGCUAAUACCGGAUAAUAUAUUGAACCGCAUGGUUCAAUAGUGAAAGACGGUUUUGCUGUCACUUAUAGAUGGAUCCGCGCCGCAUUAGCUAGUUGGUAAGGUAACGGCUUACCAAGGCAACGAUGCGUAGCCGACCUGAGAGGGUGAUCGGCCACACUGGAACUGAGACACGGUCCAGACUCCUACGGGAGGCAGCAGUAGGGAAUCUUCCGCACUGGGCGAAAGCCUGACGUAGCAACGCCGCGUGAGUGAUGAAGGUCUUCGGAUCGUAAAACUCUGUUAUUAGGGAAGAACAAAUGUGUAAGUAACUAUGCACGUCUUGACGGUACCUAAUCAGAAAGCCACGGCUAACUACGUG
rnacentral:rRNA from 1 species